rnacentral:lncRNA from 10 species
UUUAUUUAUUUAUUUUAUUUUGAGACAGAGUUUCACUAUUGUUGCCCAGGCUGGAGUGCAAUGGCACAAUCUCGGCUCACUGCAACCUCUGCCUCCCAGGUUCAAGCAAUUCUCCUGCCUCAGCCUCCCAAGUAGCUGGGAUUACAGGCACCUGCCACCACGCCCAGCUAAUUUUUGUAUUUUUGGCAGAGAUGGGGUUUCACCAUGUUGGCCAGGCUGGUCUCAAACUCCUGACAUCAGUCAUCCGCCCGCCUCUGCCUCCCAAAGUGCUGGGAUUACAGGCGUGAGCCACUGCGCCCAGCCAAUCGCUGUAUUUUUAUAGUCUGCUUUGUUCUGUAAAUGAUCCCUCUCGAGUGUAACUCACUAGUGGGCUGUGUC